CACAGUUCGAAACUCGGUGGACAAUUGGUUUGCCCCUCGACAAUUACCAGAGGGUUCAAACUCGUGACACGCACCUAACCCACACAUCACAACUGCAUUCUUACCAUUUGAUAUGUAUUUCUUGAUUAGUUUCCAUGUUUUUAUAGCAUCUAACACCAAAACGCUUUGAGCAGACGCCUAUUUUGUGGUCUCAUGGUAUCGCUGAUAGGACUGUACUGUUUGAAGCUGGACAAGCAGGGCCACCUUUUCUGGAGCGAGCUGGUAUGACUUGCGAAUUCAAGGCUUACCCUGGUCUCGCUCAUUCGAUAAACAACGAGGAGUUGAAGAACUUGGAAUCGUGGAUCAAGACUCGUCUUCAAAGCAAUUCUUAAAGCUCCACAUGAUAUUCGAUUUGCAUUUCACACAAUCAAAGCUCUUGAGUUCAAAAACUGCUGCUCAUUUGCUGCUUACUACUGAAGUUGUAGUUGAGUUGGUUGCAAAACGCCUUCUCAUUCACGUAUUAACAUUUUUACUGUAUUUCUUGGCUCAUUUUACAGUUUUAGUUAUGAAAUAUGGGACAAGUAGUUGAACUGUGAAAUUGAAAGAAAGAUGUUGGAUUAUA